GAAACUUUUACAAUUUGUUGUUUUCUUUGUAAUAAAGAGCCAAAGAAAGUUAAGAACUUAAUACAUAUGUACCUGAAAUUUAUAUUUGGGAAUGCGUGGGUACCUAAACUUGUGUAAUUUUUAACUUAUGCUAUGUUUCCUGGUCUCACCUAUUACAUAUAUGAGAACCACCAUAAAUGUGAUUUAUAAUCUCCACAAAAUGAAAUAAAUUAAUACAGUGAACAAAGAAGCUAAAAAGAGUAGAGGUGAAUUAUGAGAAUCGAGAGGGAAAAUAAACAUCAUUGAGUGCCACAGCCUUGCAUGUAAGUUUGUUCCCAGUAUCAUAAAUCGCAAAAGAAAAGCAAGGAUUGUGUUGGGAGCGAUGGGACCAUGUUUGUGCAGGUGUCCCAAGGAAGAAAUAACCACGAUAAACAAGAUCUGAAACACAUUGAACCUUAGGGAAUUUUAGGUGAAAGGUCACUUGUUUGGUCCUGAACUUUGCAACAUACAAUACAGAGAGUUAACCACCAGCCUCCAUUCGGGAUGGACACAGAGAGUCAAUCGCUAGCCUUCAGAAGAGACAGUCAAUUAGUUGAUCAUCAGCAUCCAUCUGAGAGAGACAGAGAAUUGAUUGCCAGUGUAAUCACAAAGAUGAUUGCGUUCAUUUCCCUCCAAUAUCCUUCACCUCGUGGCUUUCAAAAAGUAAGGAUAAACCUGAAGAUAUGGUCCAAACUUUGCAUCACAGCUGCAGAGAGAGAGAAAAGAAGUGGGAAAAGGAAAGCAUAAUUGAUCUUCCUUUCUGAUGGAUUUAUAUCUGUUUAUCUGUGUCCUCAGAAACAAAGAGGAAACCACAACUCAAUCUUCCAUCUAAAAGAAGGAUAGCUCCUACACAAAAGAAAUCAAGUUCCUGAUGGGAAUGUGCACUAUUCUUCAGCAACCUGAGAAGCCUCCCAAAAACCAUGGACUGACCAUCACCACACAUAUAAAAGACUCACACAAGCAGAUAAGACUGAGAGAACUUUGAACUGUAGACAAUCAGUGUUGUGAAUAGAACUAGUAAGAAGUCAAGAUCUACAGAAUAUUUUCUGUUCAGUUAAGGUAUUUAUCCUCCUGAUAAGGGUUGAAAUGCAAUUAUCUUUCUCAUUAAUAAAGAUCCAAGAUGUUCAUAAUAAAAGUUGCUUGACAUUGUGUACCCAAGUCCCUCUCUAUCCUUACUCACACUACAACCCACAUAUUAUCAUCUGUUAGGCAGAAUUGCUAGUGUGUCAGUAUCAUCUCAUGCUGAUACUGAAUGGUAACCGGAUUGUAACCAAGAAGAUCAAGGUCUAUGUAAUUAUAUUGCCUGCUGGCAUCUCACACAUAAUUCCAGAGUAUUACUGUAUUUUAAUAUGCUGAUAAUACGUACAAAAAAGUCUACAAAUUAUAUAUUAUUUUCUUGUUAUAUUUCUGUCAAAAUAUAUUUUUAGCUACUUUUUAAAAGUAAAUGUGAAAUUUAUGAGAUAUC
rnacentral:lncRNA from 1 species